rnacentral:rRNA from 1 species
UGGGGAAUAUUGCACAAUGGGCGCAAGCCUGAUGCAGCCAUGCCGCGUGUAUGAAGAAGGCCUUCGGGUUGUAAAGUACUUCCAGCGGGGAGGAAGGUGUUGAGGUUAAUAACCUCAGCAAUUGACGUUACCCGCAGAAGAAGCACCGGCUAACUCCGUGCCAGCAGCCGCGGUAAUACGGAGGGUGCAAGCGUUAAUCGGAAUUACUGGGCGUAAAGCGCACGCAGGCGGUCUGUCAAGUCGGAUGUGAAAUCCCCGGGCUCAACCUGGGAACUGCAUUCGAAACUGGCAGGCUAGAGUCUUGUAGAGGGGGGUAGAAUUCCAGGUGUAGCGGUGAAAUGCGUAGAGAUCUGGAGGAAUACCGGUGGCGAAGGCGGCCCCCUGGACAAAGACUGACGCUCAGGUGCGAAAGCGUGGGGAGCAAACA